UUAAAUAUAAUGAAAAUGAUUUAUCAUUCUAUUUUGGUGAGUGAUCUGCAAUUUUCCUUAAAUUUUCACAGUUGAUAAUCCUGACAUUUGUACUUUAUAAAUCAAAUUUCUGAUAUAAUAAGAAAAUCAAAGUUUACUUUCACUCUUACGCACACGUUCCUUUUUCAUUUUUGCUUUGCUAUGAAGAUCGAUCCUUUCACUUUGGUGUAACGACGAACGCACGGUGAGCGAUUUAUGAACAGUGAACACAAAACUGCAAACGGAGAGCGAACGGGAAAAUGGAUGUUGUCCACUAAGCUUAUGAUGGGGAUCGUAGCACUACCCUACACACAGACAUGGAAUUGAUCUGCUUAGUCCAUUAUCAGAAGAGUGACCGGGACUGUUCGUCCCGUCAGAGAAGUGUCUUGAGAAGCAUUACAAGGAACUUGUAUGAAUGGGCAGAAGAAAUUUUCUUAACUGACUAUCCCAUCAUUGCCUGCUGUUUGAGACAGAGCACUUUAUUGAAAAUUGCUGGAGUGUAGCAAUCAUUGGGUGUCCUCAUUUGGCCUGAGAAGAGUCAGAGAAGAAUAUUAGGGUCUUUAGGGGGCUGAAAUAAGGUUCCAUUCCCAUACUAAAAAAGCAGCUCCCUGCCUGGGCCUCAUGAGAUGGUGACACCCUGCAGUAGGAGCAGUUCCUACUGGUAUCUCUUAAAAGCAGACAGAGGUUUUCUUAGCAUCUUAUCCAUUUCCGGAGACAAACUUUUGUAUGGAGCUGGGUAGCAGUUACUUGGGAUGUCUGGCUGAUUAAUGAGGAUAAUUUCCCUGAGACUCUGACAUUUUGUAGGACUUGGAUAGCUCUAUUGCUGCAGAAAAUGUCAGGUUUGUUAAUGAACUUAU